rnacentral:tRNA from 1 species
UCUAAUGUGGCAGAUAAGUGCAUUGGAUUUAAGCUCCAAAUAUAAAGUUUCAGCAACCUUCAUUAGAA